rnacentral:rRNA from 1 species
GACGAACCGAGCGAACGUUAUUCGGAAUCACUGGGCUUAAAGGGUGCGUAGGCGGGCACGCGAGUCAGGGGUGAAAUCCCACGGCCCAACCGUGGAAGUGCCUCUGAUACCGCGGGCCUCGAGGGGGAUAGGGGCGUGCGGAACUUCCGGUGGAGCGGUGAAAUGCGUAGAUAUCGGAAGGAACACCGGUGGCGAAAGCGGCGCGCUGGAUCCCUACUGACGCUGAGGCACGAAAGCCAGGGGAGCAAACGGG